AGCUGUUCCAGCUGCCAGCCUGAGACUGCAGUGGCCAUUGUGUCCUUUCCCUGUGUGCCCACACCAGGGCCCGAGGCAGGCAUGCAGGCCACCCACCUUCCUUGUCCUUGCUGACCCUUCUUCCAAGCAUGAUAGGAGCCCAGCCCUGCCUCGGGCAGUUGGACCAGAGUGACCAGGCAGCAUUCUCCUACCCUGAACCCCCAGCCCAGGGAGGUCUUACAGAGAGAACCAGAACAAAUCUCAGCACUGGCCCAGGUGGUGCUGGGGGUUGGACCUGGGAACCUCAUGCUUGCAAGUCCUGUGCUCUGCUGCUGACUCCUGGCACCUGAUAGCCAAAUGCUCCCCUGUGGUCAGCCCCCAGACUCUGAGCUGGCUCCCCUGCUCACUUGCUGUGUGGCCCCAGGCAAGCUGACUUCCCUCUGGGUCUGUGCCCCUCACAAUGAA